GACGUAGGGCGCGAGCGUUGUCCGGAUUUAUUGGGCGUAAAGAGCUCGUAGGCGGCUUGUCGCGUCGACUGUGAAAACCCGCGGCUCAACCGCGGCCUGCAGCCGAUACGGGCAGGCUAGAGUUCGGUAGGGGAGACUGGAAUUCCUGGUGUAGCGGUGAAAUGCGCAGAUAUCAGGAGGAACACCGAUGGCGAAGGCAGGUCUCUGGGCCGAUACUGACGCUGAGGAGCGAAAGCGUGGGGAGCGAACAGG
rnacentral:rRNA from 1 species